AUUUCUAAAUCGCUGAAACCAUAUGGUACGGGGGAACCGUGUUUGCGGGUUGAUCUAUAACCCAAGGGGUGAAUCCUUUAAAAGGUAGGGCUACUCAAUGGUCCGAAUCCGACAGCUAACCUCGUAAGCGUUAUAUGAGAAGGAAG
rnacentral:sRNA from 2 species